rnacentral:lncRNA from 1 species
GUGAGGUGAAGUGCAAUAAGAAAAAGUAAAUAUGGAACAUGAGAUGUCUGUUUUACUCAGCCUUUGCAUGUGUCAGACUGAAAUUUCAGAAAACGUCACCAAACUUCCAAAAAGCAUCCCCAGUAAGAAAGACGGACUUGAGACCCGGUGAAGAAAACCAAUGGGAGAAUCCUGCCUCUGCUCUGAAGCCUUUCUGUUCGCUCCAGUGAAAAUUAGUCAUCCACCGGGCGCGGUGGCUCACGCCUGCAAUCCCAGCACUUUGGGAGGCCGAGGUGGGUGGAUCACUUGAGGUCGGGAGUUCAAGACCAGCCUAACCAGCAUGGAGAAACCCCAUCUCUAGUAAAAAUACAAAAAAUUAGCCAGGUGUGGUGGCGCAUGCCUGUAGUCCCAGCUCUUGGGAGGCGGAGGCAAGAGAAUCGCUUGAACCCAGGAGGCAGAGGUUGUGGUGAGCUGAGAUUGUGCCAUUGCACUCUAGCCUGGUCAACAAGAGUGAAACUCCAUCUCAAAAAAAAAAAAAGAAAGAAAAUUAGUCAUCCUAUUUGACAUCAUAUUGUACAUAGGAUACUAUUCUUGUGGCACUUAUGGUUUUGGUGCCAUGGUUUUUGGCAGUGUUUAUGCUAAUUAGAUUGAAAGUUCCACAGUACUACAUUAGUUAGGUCUGUAUCUAAUACAGAAUGGGCCCCCACUAAGAAUUUUCUGGAGGGAUGUUGAGGGCAUGAAUGGUAGGCCCAGCAGUAAAAAUUCUUCCAGUGUGAUUUUUUU